rnacentral:rRNA from 1 species
UACGAAGGGUGCAAGCGUUACUCGGAAUUACUGGGCGUAAAGCGUGCGUAGGUGGUCUGUUAAGUCUGAUGUGAAAGCCCUGGGCUCAACCUGGGAAUUGCAUUGGAUACUGGCAGGCUAGAGUGCGGUAGAGGAUGGCGGAAUUCCAGGUGUAGCGGUGAAAUGCGUAGAUAUCUGGAGGAACACCGGUGGCGAAGGCGGCAUCCUGGACCGAAAUUGACGCUGAGGCGCGAAAGCCAGGGGAGCAAACGGG